GGCAACGUAGCAAAGUGGUUACUGCGUUUGACUCGAAAUCAAAUCUCUUCGGAGGCGUAGGUUCGAGUCCUGCCGUUGUCG
rnacentral:tRNA from 1 species